UACGUAGGGUGCAAGCGUUAAUCGGAAUUACUGGGCGUAAAGCGUGCGCAGGCGGUGAUGUAAGACAGAUGUGAAAUCCCCGGGCUCAACUUGGGAACUGCAUUUGUGACUGCAUCGCUGGAGUGCGGCAGAGGGGGAUGGAAUUCCGCGUGUAGCAGUGAAAUGCGUAGAUAUGCGGAGGAACACCGAUGGCGAAGGCAAUCCCCUGGGCCUGCACUGACGCUCAUGCACGAAGGCGUGGGGAGCAAACAGG
rnacentral:rRNA from 1 species